rnacentral:lncRNA from 1 species
CUGCACACGUAUUCGACCUCUAUGGAUAUCCAUCAGAAUCGAUUUCGAACUGAUUUUUCUUCGUAGAAGAUUUUUCUUUUUAAGAAGAAUCUUAGUCUGGAAUACUGAUCAACAUCUUGAUCUAGACUACAGGAUCAACUUCUUGAUCAGCAGUUUUCUUCUUCUUCUCCUUGAUUUUCAAUCUCUAAGCCAUCAAGCACUAUCUCUUGACGUGUGGAAGAGGGAUGCCUAACUUUUGGGUGUGGAAAGGAAAAGAGGGAGGAGAGGAGGCGUG